ACUAGAAACUACACUAAAAGUUGAUAUAUUUUUAAUUUAUGUUUAAAUCUUGUAACUUGGGGCAACUCUUUGAAGUAUGACAUCCUGUUUCUCAUUUGUUUUGUGUAAUUUUUUUCUCAAGUUUCCACAAUUAGACUUCCUUCCCCCAUCUAAUCUCACUUUUCUUUUUUGUUUCAUCUUUAAUUAUCAGGCACUUUAAAAUUACAGUUGAUUUUUCAGUCUGUUUGGUAUGCCUUCUCCUUCUGAUAUUCUUGCCUUAAUAUAGUAUAUGCAUUGAGCUCUUUCUGUUGUUGUCAUUUUUUCAUCAUUGCCUUCUUUUAUUUUUCUUUCUUGGCAAGCCUUGGUUGGCCAUUUUAUAGGCAUAGAGCACACAGAGCAUGUGCUGUAUAAGUAGAAGCUAUACUUUUUAGAUAUUGUUCCCUACUUCACACUGGUUCUGGAAAGAGGAUACACUGAAUGUGUACUUCAAACUGUAUCCUAUAUUGUCAGUGACACAGCCUGUGUCAGGAAGUGGGCUUUGAAAUUCAGCAGAGCUGCAGUGUCUUUCUCCUAUCUUGAAGAUUUGGUCUUCCCACAUCAACAUCUUGUCUCAGAGCAAAAAAUACUGUACUACUGAGAAUAUUUCAAACAAUACAGAGGGAAACGUAGUAACUUCUGGAAAGCAGCUCAUUUUAGCCCAACUGUUUGGCCUAUCCAUCUUACUUUUAAAUCUUUUUUUGUUUUGUUUUGUUUUUGCCUUCCAGACUGGAAUAUACUUUUUGUGUCUCUUAUCUAUAUCCCAGCAGCUAUGAUGUCACUUCCAAAGAUUUAUGAAAGAAGAUACCUCAAUAUUAAACUGUAAGGACCAUAUACUGAAUAGGGUGCCUGAAGUA